CUCUGGAGUGUUUGGUUGAACUGUGGGUGAAAUAGAGAGGACAGGAGAGGAUAAGCAAGAGAAACUGGAAUGGAAACAGGAAUAAACAAGAGCAGCAGGACAAAAAAAAGGAAAGGUCAGAGAACAAAAGGUUGAAAAUCUCUAAUGAAUAUUCAUGAGCAACCUGAGCAGCCAAGACACACAAGCAACAAAACUUUCCACUCUUCCACACCUGCACCG